rnacentral:rRNA from 1 species
CUCAGGAUGAACGCUGGCGGUAUGCUUAACACAUGCAAGUCGAACGGGGUCCUUCGGGACUUAGUGGCGGACGGGUGAGUAACGCGUGAGGAUCUGGCUUCAGGAUGGGGAUAACAUUGGGAAACUGAUGCUAAUACCCGAUAUGGCGAGAGCUGAAAGAUUAAUCGCCUGAAGAUGAACUCGCGUCCGAUUAGCUAGUUGGAGUGGUAAUGGCACCCCAAGGCGAUGAUCGGUAGCUGGUCUGAGAGGAUGAUCAGCCACACUGGGACUGAGACACGGCCCAGACUCCUACGGGAGGCAGCAGUGGGGAAUUUUCCGCAAUGGGCGCAAGCCUGACGGAGCAAUACCGCGUGCGGGAGGACGGCCUUUGGGUUGUAAACCGCUUUUCUCAGGGAAGAAGAUCUGACGGUACCUGAGGAAUCAGCAUCGGCUAACUCCGUGCCAGCAGCCGCGGUAAUACGGAGGAUGCAAGCGUUAUCCGGAAUUAUUGGGCGUAAAGCGUCCGCAGGUGGUUUAUCAAGUCUGCUGUCAAAGCGUGGAGCUUAACUCCAUACGGGCGGUGGAAACUGAUGAACUAUAGGAUGGUAGGGGUCACGGGAAUUCCCAGUGUAGCGGUGAAAUGCGUAGAUAUUGGGAAGAACACCAGCGGCGAAAGCGCGUGACUGGGCCAUUACUGACACUCAUGGACGAAAGCUAGGGGAGCGAAAGGGAUUAGAUACCCCUGUAGUCCUAGCUGUAAACGAUGGACACUAGGUGUUGCCCGUAUCGACCCGGGCAGUGCCGUAGCCAACGCGUUAAGUGUCCCGCCUGGGGAGUACGCACGCAAGUGUGAAACUCAAAGGAAUUGACGGGGGCCCGCACAAGCGGUGGAGUAUGUGGUUUAAUUCGAUGCAACGCGAAGAACCUUACCAGGGUUUGACAUCCUCCGAAUUCUUGGGAAACCGAGAAGUGCCUUCGGGAGCGGAGAGACAGGUGGUGCAUGGCUGUCGUCAGCUCGUGUCGUGAGAUGUUGGGUUAAGUCCCGCAACGAGCGCAACCCACGUUUUUAGUUGCCAGCAUUAAGUUGGGCACUCUAGAGAGACUGCCGGUGACAAACCGGAGGAAGGUGUGGAUGACGUCAAGUCAGCAUGCCCCUUACAUCCUGGGCUACACACGUACUACAAUGCUUCGGACAGAGGGUUGCGAGCACGCGAGUGCAAGCUAAUCCCGUAAACCGAGGCACAGUUCAGAUUGCAGGCUGCAACUCGCCUGCAUGAAGGCGGAAUCGCUAGUAAUCGCCGGUCAGCAUACGGCGGUGAAUACGUUCCCGGGCCUUGUACACA